GCCAGUGUGGUAUAGUGGUUAGAGUGCUGGACUACAACUCUGGAGACCAGGGUUUGAAUCCCCACUCAGCCA